CAUCUCUGCAUCACUAUGGACGUUGAAUUACAGAUGGAACCCCUUGUAGUGAAUAUUCGAGUUAUUUUCUAAGCCACUGGGAGGCAUAUUGUUUGGAUGAGCGGCCGUGUCGUCAAUCAACUCAGCUGGGAAGUGAAACAACAACAACAGGUUCUUGGCCAUCCAUGCGCCCUACAAUGACGGCAGCCUACGUUUGGACAGGAUCGGGCAGGUUUCGGGCCGACGGCCGACAGACAUCUGGGAAAGGCGGACGGGACGCCGACCUGCGUUUGGACACGUAUGUUAAGCAACAGACACGAAAUCACAAAGGAAACCAAAUCGAAGUCUGAUGACAUCAGCAAUCGUUUCAUCGCUGCCUGGUGAAGUAGUCGGCCAGUGUGACGAGAGCGAGGACCGGUGUGCGGACCUAAGACAACAAGACAUCCGUGAGUUAAAAGUUAAGUCAACCUGUUGUGCAGCAAAUGAUCUUUGACACGAAACCUACCAGCGAGGAAGACAGGCGACUUGUUUUCUGGGCCUGAGCGCACUCGCACGGCUGCGUGACCGGGAAGCUGACAGUGUUCCGCUGCAACUCUGGAAGAAGGUGAAAAAUAAAAAACUGGAUCAAAGAAGAAUUGUGGAAUGAAGACAUUUCAAAGCGCGUACCGUCCAGGGGUCAAGGUCUCCCGCUGUUCCAAAAUUUGGCUUCAGCAUCUUGUGGAUGAAAGAAAGCAACAAGAAAAACAUUUUGGUGUGCAGCUCUGCUCCGUACAGUGAAUGCAGCAUUUCACUUUGUAGGAAAGAUGGCUCCAGAAUGACAAGGAACAUGGAAGUGGACACAGACUCCAUUUGCAUUUUUUUUGUGGUUAAGUGUCGACCGCAACCUUCGGCAGAAGCUGUUUGAGCGUGACGAGGAACCGUCUUUGUAUCAAACGUCUUCUGAAGACUCCACGGUGGUACAGACUUCUCCAGGAGACCUGAACACAACAAGAGAUUAACGGGGAACCAGUACAGCUGCUGUUUAAUAAAUGUAUUAGCAAGGCAUCAACAAAGAUUAACAGAGGUGAGGACAUUCUGCACGUUCAUGUAGAACUUUUCUCUUUGCCCAGCAGGUGGAGGAGCUUUCUGGCCGAGUUCCCGAUGGCACUUGGACUGGAAGCUGACCUGUAUGUGGAGUCAAAGAAAAAGCAGAAAUUUGACCAUGACGCCAUGUUUCCACCACCUACAACAACAAGAAACCAAGUAUUUGGAUUCAUCAAGUCUGUCUUUGCAAAAGGUUCCAACCUUGAUUGAAAUUUACUUCAGGAGAUCAGGUUCUCCAGGGAUCCUUCAGCGCCACCUGGUGGACGUGCGCAUGAAGAACAUUGCCUGGCUGCAGCACAUCUCAGAGUGCAACUGCAGAAGAGAGUUGUUAAAAACUUAACUGCUCAAUUUCUCAUGUCAGCUGUGUGUGUUUUUUUUUUUUUUUUUUUUUUAAAUCCCACCAUCUUGUUCCUCAGCUCCCAAUGACUUCAAACAAGAGGCUGUUGUAACUGCAGACAAAAGACAACAACAGACACUGCUGCAAAAUCAUCUCAGGUCGACUGGAACCUUCUGCUUGAACAAGUACUGGGACAAGAACCGUUUUUGUAUCAAAUGACUGAAGCCUUCAGAAUGGACUGGUGGCGCAGAGACUUCUCCGGGAGACCUGAACACAACAAGAGAUGAACGAGGGACCAGCCAAGCUCCUAUUUACAGGUCCAGGAUCUUGGUGGCAGAGUCCCCAAUGGCACUUUGACUGGAAGCUGACCUGCAAGUGGAGUCAAAGAAAAAACAGGUCCAAGCUUAGCGAUCUACUUCCCCUUCAGCUUGAACACAACUGCACAAGAACCAUCUCCGCAUCGAACAACUGAAGCCUUCACAGUGGACUGGUGGCGCAGAGACUUCUCCGGGAGACCUGAACACAACAAGAGAUGAACGAGGGACCAGCCAAGCUCCUAUUUACAAGUGCAGGAUCUUGGUGGCAGAGUCCCCCAUGGCACUUGGACUGGAAGCCGACCUGCAUGUGGAGUCAAAAAGAAAAAGCAGGUCCCAAGCUUCGAGAUCUACUUCACCAUUUGAUCCAUGAUCUCUAGGGAUCCUUCAGCACCACCUGGUGGACGUGAGCAGCAAGAACAUGCAAGUGUCCUGGCCCGAGAAGUUCUCCAUGAUGUCAAACAAGGGUGUCGUGACUGUGGACAAAAGAAAAACGAACGAGGGACCAGUGCAGGAUCUUGGUGGCAGAGUCUCUGAUUGCACUUUGACUGGAAGCAGACUUGCAUGUGGAGUCAAAAAGAAAAAGCUGGUGCCAAGCUUGGAGAUCUACUUCACCAGUUGAUCCAUGACCAGGUUCUCCUGGGAUCCUUACGCGCCACCUGGUGGACGUGAGCAGCAAGAACAUGCAAGUGUCCAGGAGCGAGAAGCUCUCUGACGUCCAUCAAGAGGCUGUCGUGACUGCAGACGGCAAAAGAAAAAGACAAGAAAGCUUACUGCUGGAAAGUCAUCUCAGGUGUCCUUACCCUCCUUCAGUCUCAUCUGCAGCUUUUUCUUCCUGUGGUGAUACAAGAGGUGCACAUUAAAGGUCAACACUGACAUCGAGUGCGUGUUCCCACCUAGACCGUGAUGUCACUGGUCUGCACAUGCUGAAGCAAAUUAGUCAAAUGUUUUUUUCCCCUCAUAUGAAACUUUGCCACCAGUGAGAGCAGGGCAGAGCUGGACAACUCGUCAGUGACGGCCUGAAAGACAACAAAAUUAGCGGUCGAGUUCUCCCAAUUCAACGUGACAGUUUCUUGACGUGCGUUUCAGGAGUAGACUGAAAAAAUACAAAACAAAUAAAAGUCUUAAACCUUGUCCCAAACGUCACAGGUGGUCAGCCAUUUUAAGGUCAAGUUGGCCAUUCUGUUGCAGAUUUGAACUUGUGGACAGAAAGGAGACAAUUAACACAAGCAUUUGAACGUCUUUCAUUCUGUUGGAUUGUGAAUAUGUACAAGUUUCGUCCAGAUCCCGAAAAAGCUUUGAGCCAAUACUUGAAUGAUAAAGCGUGCAUUCAGUUCUCCUCCUAUACCCCAAAUAAAUGUGUUUUGGUCUCAUUUCAACUCGUAAGCGACGUUAAUUGCCCACGGUGCCUCAAACGGUUUAGCUAGCACGCUAGCAAGGUGUUAGCACGACAAAGUGUUAAUUUAACUUACUUUUGAUGUUUUUCGGUCACUUCAACGUGCCCAAAAGACAGUGACUUAAACGAGGCUAAAGAAGUGAGCGUGAGCACUUACUCUGUCAAAGUUUUGUCGAUCUUGUGGAAACGACGGUGACGGAAUGCUGCCACAAAGAACGUUCGCCUUCGAAGUCCCCACUUAAAUAGGGGUUGGGUGAUGACGUAAUAACAUAAAAAAAGGAAAAAUACAUUUAAAAAAUGUAAACAAGAGCAUAGAAAGUGGGGCGACCCAUUGCCAAAUCGAGUUGAAAUAUUGUCACCAAUGGGGUUUGAACCCCAGCCACCUGAGUCGGAGUCCUCGACGCAAUUCACUAAGCCAGAAAUCAGACGGGAGAUUCGCCUGCGCGUGUCCGUAUUUGUCAAUCCUUUGACAAAGACGAGCAAAAGACUCCAUAAGUACAAGUAAAACGGCGUGAAAAUAGUUGAGCAAAGAUGGCCGAAUGGUUUCAUACGUUGACUUGUGACCAAGCGAGCCGUGUUCGAUCCUCACUGGUGCUCCAUUUAUAUUCACCAAUGGAGGCGCCACCUGCCGGAGUGUGUUUCAACAUACUUGGAGAAAUGUCGAGAAACUUCUAAGUCCGACAGAACAGUCCAGUUGCGAUCGAGUCAAAGUCCUGACAAGCAAGUGACCCUCGUGAAUGAGAAUUCACUUAUUAUCGAUGGGCUCAGGCGGGGCUCGAACCCGGGUCGCCGGAUCCGGAGGCAGCGUUUUAAAUUAUUAGCCUAUUUUUUUGGAAAUUUUUUGAUUUUUUCGGUCAUAUUUAUCGGGUCGGAACCGGACGAUAACGUUCAAAAGGUACCAGAUCAUUUGUAUUUUCAGAAUGGAAGUAGUCCAGUGUGUAGAGACACUGCCAACGCCGCUGGCGGCUCGGGUUCGAUCCUUCCUUCUGCUCCAUUUAUAUAUAUGAUAAACAUUAUAAAUGGAACAGAAACGGUGGGGAUCGAACCGAAGAUGCCAGAAGCGUAGGCGCAGUGUAUUAGACCACUCGACUAUCGAGUUUUUGAAGUCUUCGACUUCUGGUCCUCAUUUAUCAUUGUGUUUGGGUGGAGGAGGAGGAUCAAUACGUUUCCAAUGCCAAGAAUUGUUAAGCUGGAGUUGGUAUAGUGCGUAGCGAUGCUACCUAGGACGCAGGCUGCUCGGGUUCGAUCCUGCCUUCUGCUCCAUUUAUGGUUAUGUAUGUGGAAUAUAUUAUAAAUGUGACAGCGAGGGUGGGGAUCGAACCCGUGUCACCGGAACCGCGGGUAAAGUUUUAGACCACUGGACUAUCUCGGACGAUUCCGAUUUUCAUUUCCAAUGAAAAUGAGAUGUAAAAAAUAUUCGCAUUUUCGUAUUCAUCGCCAUUAGAUGAAGUUACACAUACCUUUUACAGAGAAUACAUUUGCACCGGAGAGUAGUCCAGUGAUACGGGUUGCUGACUCCUGCUAGCGAGACUCGGGUUCGAUCCUCGCCUGGUCUUCAGUUUAUAUUGUAUAUUUGGACGUUUUAAAUAAAGAGGAUAAAGCGGGCAUCGAACCCGCAUUGUCAGAAGAUGAGGUACUGUUUUAAACACCAGACCAGCUCGCCUGAAGGGCGAACGUGUUGGAGGUCAUAUUUACAGGAUUAGUGAUAUACAAGCCAGCAUCAAGGCCAAUUGGACUGAAAAUUUUGGAAUUUAUUGGUUCUAUUUAUGAAGUUGGAGCGCCGUUGGUUUUGUAUGAACACGUACGAAUCACCAAAGCCUGUCAGAUGGAAAAUAGCCACUGACUAUAAAUCUGGUUCGAUCCUUCCUUUGUCCAGCACUUAUAUUUCUCCGCGAUAUUUGUUAAUAAGUGGAGUCCAGAGUGGAACUCGAACCCUGGACACCCGAACCGGAGAUAAAGUUUUAGACCACUCGACCAUUUUAUCGGGCAGGUUUUGGAAUUUUGUGUUUUAUUUAUUGGUUCGUAAUCUCAAUUUAUACCCAAAAUGUUCACAAAGUUAGUCCAGUGGAUUGUGUUCUCGACUCUGAUUCUGGUGGCACGAAUUCGACCCUCACUUUGUCCUUCAUUUAUGGCCCUUCAUAAAUUUGAUUCAUAAAUGGGAUGCACAGGGGGACUCAAACCCGAUUCACCGGAACCUGAGGCCAAGUUUUAGACCGUUCGACUAUAUCUCUGGAGAGUUUUGUGAUUUUUAGGUUUGUCUAUGGGCUCAGGUCAUGCAGGGCAAGCCGCUAUUUGCCUGCAGUUACAGGAAGAAACUGACAGAGGUGCUCGGCCUCACUCUUGAAGAGGUCAACAUCCACCCUUGACAUGUUGGAGAGCUUUCAGAAAUUUGGGUUGUAUUUAUAGUUUGUCAUCCAAGUGACAGAAGAUGCAUCCCUUAACAUCCAACCUCAACUUUAUGGACAACCUCCCCCACACAAGCAAGCACGGCUUCAAAAUCACUAUGA